rnacentral:rRNA from 1 species
GAUGAACGCUGGCGGCGUGCCUAAUACAUGCAAGUCGAGCGAAGCGGGGACGGGUGAGUAACGCGUGGAUAACCUCCUCUAAGACUGGGAUAACUUCGGGAAACCGGAGCUAAACCGCAUACUUAUAGAUGGAUCCGCGUUGCAUUAGCUAGUUGGUAGGGUAAAGGCUUACCAAGGCAACGAUGCAUAGCCGACCUGAGAGGGUGAUCGGCCACACUGGAACUGAGACACGGUCCAGACUCCUACGGGAGGCAGCAGUAGGGAAUCUUGCGCAAUGGGCGAAAGCCUGAUGGAGCAAUGCCGCGUGAGUGAAGAAGGUCUUCGGAUCGUAAAACUCUGUCAGUAGGGAAGCGGUACCUACACAGAAAGCCACGGCUAACUACGUGCCAGCCGCCGCGGUAAUAC